AUAUAAUGUGGGUUGUGGUGUAAUUCAUGUAAUAGCUUCCAUGGUACAUCAAGGCUGAAGUUCUUGCUAUAAUAAGAAGAUCAAGGGAUGAUUUAGGAAAGCGAACCUGAACAGCGGCUAUGGCCUGGGCUUGGCAUUCAAACACGACAAACUGACCUCUGGUUGUAGAGGUGUCUUGAAGAUGCUGAAGAACAAACACAAAGUUUACAGAAUGGAAGAAACUGUUGCACCAUAUACAAUGAUUUGAGAUGCCAAUUGUGCUAAGUGUGCAUGCUUUUUCAUCAUAAUUAUUGACAACUGACUAUACUUUAAUUAAAAAAAGAAGCUGCUGAGCAUU